rnacentral:rRNA from 1 species
AGCGGAGAAAGUGCAUGGUGGGUAGUUUGACUGGGGGUGGUCGCCUCCAAAAGAGUAACGGAGGCUUCCAAAGGUACCCUCAGCACGCUUGGUAACCGUGCGCAGAGUGUAUUAGCAUAAGGGUGCUUGACUGUGAGACCGACGGGUCGAGCAGGUACGAAAGUAGGGUAAAGUGAUCCGGUGGUUCUGCAUGGAAGGGCCAUCGCUCAAAGGAUAAAAGGUACUCCGGGGAUAACAGGCUGAUCUCCCCCAAGAGCUCAUAUCGACGGGGAGGUUUGGCACCUCGAUGUCGGCUCGUCACAUCCUGGGGCUGGAGAAGGUCCCCAAGGGUUGAGCUGUUCGCUCAUUAAAGUGGCACGCGAGCUGGGUUCAGAACGUCGCAAGACAGUUCGGUCCCUAUCUGUUGUGGGCGUUUGAGAUUUGAGAAGAUCUGUUUCUAGUACGAGAGGACCGGAAUGGACUGACCUCUAGUGUACCAGUUAUGUCGCCAGAUGUACCGCUGGUAGCUACGUUGGGGAAUGGAUAAGCG